UGGGGGAUUUUGGACAAUGGGCGAAAGCCUGAUCCAGCAAUGCCGCGUGUGUGAAGAAGGCCUUCGGGUUGUAAAGCACUUUUGUCCGGAAAGAAAUCCUUGGCUCUAAUACAGUCGGGGGAUGACGGUACCGGAAGAAUAAGCACCGGCUAACUACGUGCCAGCAGCCGCGGUAAUACGUAGGGUGCAAGCGUUAAUCGGAAUUACUGGGCGUAAAGCGUGCGCAGGCGGUUUGCUAAGACCGAUGUGAAAUCCCCGGGCUCAACCUGGGAACUGCAUUGGUGACUGGCAGGCUAGAGUAUGGCAGAGGGGGGUAGAAUUCCACGUGUAGCAGUGAAAUGCGUAGAGAUGUGGAGGAAUACCGAUGGCGAAGGCAGCCCCCUGGGCCAAUACUGACGCUCAUGCACGAAAGCGUGGGGGAGCAAACAGGAUUAGAUACCCUGGUAGUCCACGCCCUAAAACGAUGUCAACUAGUUGUUGGGGAUUCAUUUCCUUAGUAACGUAGCUAACGCGUGAAGUUGACCGCCUGGGGAGUACGGUCGCAAGAUUAAAACUCAAAUGAAUUGACGGGGU
rnacentral:rRNA from 1 species